AAAUUGAAGAGUUUGAUCAUGGCUCAGAUUGAACGCUGGCGGCAGGCCUAACACAUGCAAGUCGAACGGUAACAGAAAGCAGCUUGCUGCUUUGCUGACGAGUGGCGGACGGGUGAGUAAUGUCUGGGAAACUGCCUGAUGGAGGGGGAUAACUACUGGAAACGGUGGCUAAUACCGCAUAACGUCGCAAGACCAAAGAGGGGGACCUUCGGGCCUCUUGCCAUCAGAUGUGCCCAGAUGGGAUUAGCUAGUUGGUGAGGUAACGGCUCACCAAGGCGACGAUCCCUAGCUGGUCUGAGAGGAUGACCAGCCACACUGGAACUGAGACACGGUCCAGACUCCUACGGGAGGCAGCAGUGGGGAAUAUUGCACAAUGGGCGCAAGCCUGAUGCAGCCAUGCCGCGUGUAUGAAGAAGGCCUUCGGGUUGUAAAGUACUUUCAGCGGGGAGGAAGGUGUUGUGGUUAAUAACCGCAGCAAUUGACGUUACCCGCAGAAGAAGCACCGGCUAACUCCGUGCCAGCAGCCGCGGUAAUACGGAGGGUGCAAGCGUUAAUCGGAAUUACUGGGCGUAAAGCGCACGCAGGCGGUCUGUCAAGUCGGAUGUGAAAUCCCCGGGCUCAACCUGGGAACUGCAUUCGAAACUGGCAGGCUUGAGUCUUGUAGAGGGGGGUAGAAUUCCAGGUGUAGCGGUGAAAUGCGUAGAGAUCUGGAGGAAUACCGGUGGCGAAGGCGGCCCCCUGGACAAAGACUGACGCUCAGGUGCGAAAGCGUGGGGAGCAAACAGGAUUAGAUACCCUGGUAGUCCACGCCGUAAACGAUGUCUACUUGGAGGUUGUGCCCUUGAGGCGUGGCUUCCGGAGCUAACGCGUUAAGUAGACCGCCUGGGGAGUACGGCCGCAAGGUUAAAACUCAAAUGAAUUGACGGGGGCCCGCACAAGCGGUGGAGCAUGUGGUUUAAUUCGAUGCAACGCGAAGAACCUUACCUGGUCUUGACAUCCACGGAAGUUUUCAGAGAUGAGAAUGUGCCUUCGGGAACCGUGAGACAGGUGCUGCAUGGCUGUCGUCAGCUCGUGUUGUGAAAUGUUGGGUUAAGUCCCGCAACGAGCGCAACCC
rnacentral:rRNA from 2 species